ACAUGGAGGACAUUUCUGGUUUUUUUGGGAGUAAAAUCAAUAUUUUGAGUUAGUUUCUGCAUAAAAAUGCAUUUUGAUUACAUUUCUCGGCGCAAACCGAUAUUUUACUUUCAUAAUAUUCACUCAGUGAAUGUACAUCAUCCCUUUUUUGUCCGUUGUUCGCUAAGAUCGCGCCGGAAUAUGGUUACGUAACCUACGUAAGCUACGCCGUAGGUUACGUAAGCUACGCCGUAGGCUGCGUCUAUUUAAAGCUCGCCGACCGAGGAAAACAUGCUUUACAGACUCGUCUCGAUUUUGAGCAAGCAAGCAUUUUUUCAUUUUUUUGAGUCAAAUGGCGAACCGCAAAGAGCAGGAGGAUAUUGAACCCACAAAUGAAACUCAUCAAAGAGCUGGAACUGGAGGGAAAGACAGUGGGGAGGCCACAGCAGCCUCAUGGCCUUUCUACGAAGAUAUGCAUGAGGUUUUGGGGUCCAGACCUUCAAUCCAGCCUCCAUGUUUGUUGGCGUCUUAUGAAGAUCCCACGCAAAUACUCAUGAACAUAAUCGACCCUCCAUCCUCACCGGUGUCCUC